rnacentral:lncRNA from 1 species
AAUGCACUCAUACACUUAAUGAAUAAAAGAGGAAUAAAUCCAAGCCAUAUAUGAAGUCGCUACUGUCGGCAAGGGACCCAAACGGGAUUAUCCCUUCCUCUAGUCGGAGCUCCACCACGCACGACCAGAUCCGUUCACAUCGCCGGCGUCUUCUCCACAUCCUCGGACUAAGAGAGAGGAGAAGAAGAAGAUGGAAGCAACCCCUAAGGAGGAUUUGUAUCAGCAACCAAGCCACGAUACUCAGAGCAACACCCACGACCGGUGUGGCUGGGGCGAGCCUCUCCGAUUGGAAACAAUCUCUCAUGGCCUCAUCCCUUAAUUCCUGAAUUCAUUCUCUUACAUCAAAGAGGGGGCUGCCUUGUUU